rnacentral:rRNA from 1 species
UACGGGGGGAGCAAGCGUUGUUCGGAUUUCCUGGGCGUAAAGGGCGCGUAGGCGGUCGUGACAAGUCACUUGUGAAAUCUCCGGGCUUAACUCGGUAGCGGCCAAGUGAUACUGUCGGACUAGAGUGCGGAAGGGGCAACUGGAAUUCUCGGUGUAGCGGUGAAAUGCGUAGAUAUCGAGAGGAACACCUGCGGCGAAGGCGGGUUGCUGGGCCGACACUGACGCUGAGGCGCGAAAGCCAGGGGAGCGAACGGG